CCUACGGGAGGCAGCAGUGAGGAAUAUUGGUCAAUGGGCUUACGCCUGAACCAGCCAAGUCGCGUGAGGGAAGACUGCCCUAUGGGUUGUAAACCUCUUUUGUCAGGGAGCAAUGGGCGCUACGUGUAGCGUUAUCGAUAGUACCUGAAGAAAAAGCAUCGGCUAACUCCGUGCCAGCAGCCGCGGUAAUACGGGGGAUGCGAGCGUUAUCCGGAUUUAUUGGGUUUAAAGGGUGCGUAGGCGGAAUGCCAAGUCAGCGGUAAAAUCGCGGGGCUCAACCUCGCUCCGCCGUUGAAACUGGCGGUCUUGAGUGGGCGAGAAGUAUGCGGAAUGCGUGGUGUAGCGGUGAAAUGCAUAGAUAUCACGCAGAACUCCGAUUGCGAAGGCAGCAUACCGGAGCCCAACUGACGCUGAAGCACGAAAGCGUGGGUAUCGAACAGGAUUAGAUACCCCUGUAGUC
rnacentral:rRNA from 1 species